rnacentral:rRNA from 1 species
AGCGAACGCUGGCGGCAGGCCUAACACAUGCAAGUCGAACGAAGUCUUCGGACUUAGUGGCGGACGGGUGAGUAACACGUGGGAACGUGCCUUUAGGUUCGGAAUAACUCAGGGAAACUUGUGCUAAUACCGAAUGUGCCCUUCGGGGGAAAGAUUUAUCGCCUUUAGAGCGGCCCGCGUCUGAUUAGCUAGCUGGUGAGGUAAAGGCUCACCAAGGCUUCGAUCAGUAGCUGGUCUGAGAGGAUGACCAGCCACAUUGGGACUGAGACACGGCCCAAACUCCUACGGGAGGCAGCAGUGGGGAAUCUUGCGCAAUGGGCGAAAGCCUGACGCAGCCAUGCCGCGUGGAUGAUGAAGGUCUUAGGAUUGUAAAAUCCUUUCACCGGUGAAGAUAGUGACUGUAGCCGGAGAAGAAGCCCCGGCUAACUUCGUGCCAGCCGCCGCUGUAAGAC